GUAGGUGGCAAGCGUUGUCCGGAAUUAUUGGGCGUAAAGCGCGCGCAGGCGGGGUCCUUUAAGUCUGAUGUGAAAGCCCACGGGCUCAACCGUGGAGGGUCAUUGGAAACUGGGGGACUUGAGUACAGAAGAGGAAAGCGGAAUUCCAAGUGUAGCGGUGAAAUGCGUAGAGAUUUGGGGGAACACCAGUGGCGAAGGCGGCUUUCUGGUCUGUAACUGACGCUGAGGCGCGAAAGCGUGGGGAGCAAACAGGAUUAGAUACCCUGGUAGUCCACGCCGUAAACGAUGAGUGCUAAGUGUUAGGGGGUUUCCGCCCCUUAGUGCUGCAGCUAACGCAUUAAGCACUCCGCCUGGGGAGUACGGCCGCAAAGGCUGA
rnacentral:rRNA from 1 species